GUGUCAGCAGCCGCGGUAAUACGAAGGGGGCUAGCGUUGUUCGGAAUUACUGGGCGUAAAGCGCGCGCAGGCGGCUCCUCAAGUCAGGGGUGAAAGCCCAGAGCUCAACUCUGGAAUUGCCUUUGAAACUGUGGAGCUUGAGUACGGUAGAGGUGAGUGGAAUUCCCAGUGUAGAGGUGAAAUUCGUAGAUAUUGGGAAGAACACCGGUGGCGAAGGCGGCUCACUGGGCCGUUACUGACGCUCAGGCGCGACAGCGUGGGGAUCAAACAGGAUUAGAUACCCUGGUAGUCCACGCCGUAAACGAUGGACGCUAGCCGUUGGCAGGCUUGCCUGUCAGUGGCGCAGCUAACGCAUUAAGCGUCCCGCCUGGGGAGUACGGCCGCAAGGUUGAA
rnacentral:rRNA from 1 species